GCCUAACUUUUUUUUUUCUAAUCGAUAAGCGUUUUUGGUGAUAAUAACCAAUGGGACGACAUCGAUGUCACAUUGUAGAUGAUGCACUCACAGACCAUUGUGAGAAGACACUUGUCUCUGACUUUGCGGAGGACAUGGAUGAGUGAACUCAGAUAAUCGACAGAUAGCAGAUUGUGAGGAGAUAUUCGCUGAAUGUGACUAAAUCUGUUACAAGUUAAAAUGAGCUUAGAAUUGAUUACAGUACCUUUGAAUUAUCGUCACUACAUUGAGCAGAGACCAUCGUCAUCGGUCCAAACGUGGAUGAUCACCUACCACUGAUCCAGCAUAGUCAUAUUGCAGUAGCUUUGAGGACAGAAGAGGAGAAUAACAAAGACAGCA